GAUGAACGCUGGCGGCGUGCUUAAUACAUGCAAGUCGAGCGAACGGACGAGACGCUUGCUUCUCUGUUGUUAGCGGCGGACGGGUGAGUCACGCGUGGAUACCCUACCUAUAAGACUGGGAUAACCUCGGGAAACCGGCGCUUAUCCCGGAUAAUCUUUUGAUCCGCAUGGUUCAAUAGUGAAAGUCGGUCUUGCUGUCUCUUAUCGCUGGUUCCGCGCUGCUUUAGCUAGUUGGUAAGGUCACGGCUUACCAAGGCAACGAUGCAUAGCCGACCUGCUAGAGGGGUCGGCCACACUGGAGGUGGACCACGGACCAGGCGACUACGGGAGGGAGCAGUAGGGAAUCUGCCGCAAUGGGCGGAAGCCUGACGGAACGGCGCCACGUGAGUUAUAAAGGUCUUCGGAGCGUAAAACUCGGUUAUGAGGGAAAAACAUAUGUGUAAGUAACUGUGCACAGCUUGACGGUACCUGAUCAGAAAGCCACGGCUAACUACGUG
rnacentral:rRNA from 1 species